GUAUCUACUUUUCACGUUUGAAUUCAAAACCAUAAUUGUAUCUGUUCUGAUUUAUUUUGUCGUUUCUGUAGAUGUUAAUGCUUUGAAAAUAUAUUAUUUCAAUACAGGCUGAUGGACCUGGAGCCGAGGAGGAGGAAUCUGACAAAUCUAGGUCCGAGGUUAACGAUGAUGAGGAGGAUGAUGAGGAAGGAAGUGGAGAGGUCCUGUGAAUUAACAAUUAACUACAGUUCUUAUUUUAUUGGUCAGAAGAUAAUUAUUUAUGCUGAUGUUUUCAUUGGUCUGUAUGUUGCUUACAAUAGAAUUUAAUGUUUGUUUACAGGAGGAGGAUGAUGAUGAGUAAAGGGACUGUGGGGGGCCAGAAGUUUAGGAUGUGAAGAAAAAUGUCAUGACCUCUACCUUUUGAUUAGUAGUAUCCUAAGAUAAAUAGUUUCUUUUUUC
rnacentral:lncRNA from 1 species